CUUCUAUAAUGCAAAGGCUGGGUUCUGCUCUUGUAAUGCAAGGUGAAUGAUAAAUUCAAGGUCUUUUUCAGGUCUUCAAAAUCUCUUCUUCUCUGGGUGCUCGGGGCUUAGAUGGUGAACCUGGGCCUCAGGGUCUUCCUGGUGCACCUGGUGAUCAAGGACAGCGAGGACCUCCAGGAGAAGCAGGUCCCAAAGGAGAUAGAGGGGUUGAAGGUGCUAGAGGAAUUCCUGGUCUCCCUGGGUCCAAAGGAGACACGGGUUUGCCAGGUGUGGAUGGCCGUGAUGGGAUCCCUGGAAUGCCUGGAACAAAGGGUGAACCAGGAAAACCUGGGCCUCCUGGUGAUGCAGGAUUGCAGGGGUUACCAGGUGUACCUGGAAUUCCUGGUGCAAAGGGUGUUGCUGGUGAAAAGGGUAGCGCAGGUGCUCCAGGGAAGCCUGGUCAGAUGGGAAAUUCAGGCAAACCGGGCCAACAGGGGCCUCCAGGAGAGGUGGGACCCCGAGGACCCCAGGGGCUUCCUGGCAGUAGAGGAGAAUUAGGACCCGUGGGAUCCCCAGGCCUACCAGGUAAACUGGGUUCUCUGGGUAGCCCUGGCCUCCCUGGCUUGCCUGGGCCCCCUGGACUUCCUGGAAUGAAAGGUGACAGGGGUGUAGUCGGUGAACCGGGUCCAAAGGGUGAACAGGGUGCCUCUGGUGAAGAAG
rnacentral:sRNA from 1 species